rnacentral:rRNA from 1 species
AAGGGCAAACCGAAGAGUUUACUCUUCGGGGUUGUAGGACUGCAAUGUGGACUCAAAGAUUAUAGAAGAAUGAUUUGGGAAGAUCAGCCAAAGAGAGUAAUAGCCUCGUAUUUAAAAUAGUCUUUGUACUUAGCAGUAUCCUGAGUACGGCGGGACACGUGAAAUCCCGUCGGAAUCUGGGAGGACCAUCUCCCAACCCUAAAUACUCCCUAGUGACCGAUAGUGAACCAGUACCGUGAGGGAAAGGUGAAAAGCACCCCGGGAGGGGAGUGAAAUAGAACCUGAAACCGUGUG